ACGUGCCGCUCUUCCCUCGGGUCCCCUCGACUCGGCCCGGCGCCGCUGUCCUGGGCCUCAGUUUUCUUAGACGUGCGAUGAGAUUUAUUUAUUUUUAUACAAAAGCUGGGAUACAGGCCAGAGGCGCCGGAGGGUGAGAGGAUUCACCAGAGGCAGAGUGGGGAACAGAACAGGCAGACUGACUAAAAUACACUGCUGAGGGGAGCAGCGGGCGAGGCAGGAGAGGUCUGCCCCGCCAUGUGGGUAUCUCCCUGGCUGGCCGGGAAGCGAACCUGCGCUGCAGAGGCUGCGGACACCUUCACAACGCUGCACUCAACCCACUGUGCCACCGGGGAGGCCCUACAUUUUCAUCCUCUUAAGAAGGGGCUGACUGUUAUUUUGUCGUCCUUAUGAGAAGAUUGUCAACCCUUGAAGCUGAGCGCUGAAGCCUCCAUCUUAGUCCACAAGUUUUGAAUCCCAGCACCUAGGAUGUGCCCGGAAAUGGUUUCAGUGAGAUUCCAGGGAAGCUACUGAUCCACAGCACAAAAUGAAGUGUCCAGGUCCAGGGAGAUAUGUGUGAUCAUGAAGGACAACACGGGGGAACAAUGUGAGGUUCAAGAUGGAAGGAAAGCAGCAGGUUCCUUGGAGGCCAUAACCAUUCCUGCUCUAUCUUGAGCCUUCCUGCUCUGAGACCAUUGAGGGGGAAGUGGCCCCUUUGAAGCACAGCUGGCCAGAUGUCAUACCAGCUUGACACCCUUCCCAUGACACCCCCUUUUGGAGGCUGGAGUGUGGGAGACAAUCAUCGGACUCUUACCUGGUUCCUGGCACUGCAGCAGGAGCAUCACAUGGAUUAAAACCAUCUUUUUAUGGGAUCCACUUAAACCCCACCUCUUUUACUUCAUGUAGAUGCUUUGCUCUGCAUUUCUGCUUCUUGAGCCCUCGACUGCUGCUUGACUCUGCUGUGCCUGUAGAGUGCAAGCGAGUAUG